rnacentral:rRNA from 1 species
AACGAACGCUGGCGGCAUGCCUAACACAUGCAAGUCGAACGAGACCUUCGGGUCUAGUGGCGCACGGGUGCGUAACGCGUGGGAAUCUGCCCUGGGGUGCGGAAUAACUCGGAGAAAUCCGUGCUAAUACCGCAUAAUGUCUUCGGACCAAAGAUUUAUCGCCCUGGGAUGAGCCCGCGUAGGAUUAGCUAGUUGGUGGGGUAAAGGCCUACCAAGGCGACGAUCCUUAGCUGGUCUGAGAGGAUGAUCAGCCACACUGGGACUGAGACACGGCCCAGACUCCUACGGGAGGCAGCAGUGGGGAAUAUUGGACAAUGGGCGAAAGCCUGAUCCAGCAAUGCCGCGUGAGUGAUGAAGGCCCUAGGUUGUAAAGCUCUUUUACCCGGGAUGAUAAUGACAGUACCGGGAGAAUAAGCUCCGGCUAACUCCGUGCCAGCAGCCGCGGUAAU